GACGAACGCUGGCGGCGUGCUUAACACAUGCAAGUCGAACGGAAAGGCCCUGCUUUUGUGGGGUGCUCGAGUGGCGAACGGGUGAGUAACACGUGAGUAACCUGCCCUUGACUUUGGGAUAACUUCAGGAAACUGGGGCUAAUACCGGAUAGGAGCCCCUGCUGCAUGGUGGGGGUUGGAAAGUUUCGGCGGUUGGGGAUGGACGCGCGGCUUAUCAGCUUGUUGGUGGGGUAGUGGCUUACCAAGGCUUUGACGGGUAGCCGGCCUGAGAGGGUGACCGGCCACAUUGGGACUGAGAUACGGCCCAGACUCCUACGGGAGGCAGCAGUGGGGAAUAUUGCACAAUGGGCGGAAGCCUGAUGCAGCAACGCCGCGUGCGGGAUGACGGCCUUCGGGUUGUAAACCGCUUUCGCCUGUGACGAAGCGUGAGUGACGGUAAUGGGUAAAGAAGCACCGGCUAACUACGUG
rnacentral:rRNA from 1 species